UGAGCUUGAUCCUGGCUCAUGGCAAGCGUUGUGGGGCUCUGAGCUUGAUCCUGGCUCAGGACGAACGCUGGCGGCGUGCCUAAUACAUGCAAGUCGAGCGAACUUCUUUAGAGCUUGCUUUAAAGAAGUUAGCGGCGGACGGGUGAGUAACACGUGGGCAACCUGCCUGUAAGACUGGGAUAACUUCGGGAAACCGGAGCUAAUACCGGAUAAUAUAUAGUACCUCCUGGUACUAUAUUGAAAGUUGGUUUCGGCUAACACUUACAGAUGGGCCCGCGGCGCAUUAGCUAGUUGGUGAGGUAACGGCUCACCAAGGCAACGAUGCGUAGCCGACCUGAGAGGGUGAUCGGCCACACUGGGACUGAGACACGGCCCAGACUCCUACGGGAGGCAGCAGUAGGGAAUCUUCCACAAUGGACGAAAGUCUGAUGGAGCAACGCCGCGUGAGCGAUGAAGGCCUUCGGGUCGUAAAGCUCUGUUGUUAGGGAAGAACAAGUGCGAGAGUAACUGCUCGCACCUUGACGGUACCUAACCAGAAAGCCACGGCUAACUACGUGCCAGCAGCCGCU
rnacentral:rRNA from 1 species